rnacentral:tRNA from 1 species
GCGGGGAUAGCUCAGUUGGGAGAGCGCCAGACUGAAGUUCACUUCGGUUCAUGAUAUCUGGAGGUCGUGUGUUCGAUCCACACUCACCGCA